rnacentral:rRNA from 1 species
UACGGAGGGGGCUAGCGUUAUUCGGAAUUAUUGGGCGUAAAGAGCGUGUAGGCGGCUAGAUAGGUCCGUUGUGAAAACUCGAGGCUCAACCUCGAGACGUCGAUGGAAACCAUCUGGCUAGAGUCCGGAAGAGGAGAGUGGAAUUCCUGGUGUAGCGGUGAAAUGCGCAGAUAUCGGGAAGAACACCCGUGGCGAAGGCGGCUCUCUGGGACGGUACUGACGCUGAGACGCGAAAGCGUGGGGAGCGAACAGG